CCAAGUUUCCUUGUCUCCUCAUACUGCUCGAAGUUAAAAAACCAAGCUCUUUUUUCUGCCAUGGUCUCACUAUUAAAAAAAGGUGUGGUAGAAAGGAUUCCAACUUCCCAAGUAUAUCCGGGUGUAUACUCCCGGUUGUUCCUAGUCUCAAAACCGGACAUGUCUUUUCGUCCAAUCUUGGAUAUAAAAAAACCUGAACAAGCUCAUUCCUUACCAACAUUUCAGAAUG